UGGUAAUAUCACUUUUGGAAAAGGCUGCAGGAAGCUGAACCAAAUCACUUUACAGGCAGGGUCUACAGGUUGACUGGUUCGGGGAUUAAUUCCUGGCCUGGGUUCUUCACCUGUAUGGUUUCUCCUAUGUAUUCUUAGGCAGUACAACACCACCUAAGUGUCCAACAAGUUGGACAUUUUUACUCAAUGCCUUGAUUGUUGAGGUUCCAGUUGAGUUUCUCUAAGAUGUGGACAAACAAGAGCCUUCAGAUGAGAUGUUUUUUUGUACACAAUGCCUGCUGAUGUAGACAUAAGUGUCCCAGCUGACAUUUGUGAAGCAUGCAGUGACCUCUUCAGUACUGCACGAAUCACACUGUCAGCCGCUGGGUUUCCUCUUUGCAGAAAGCCCAGUGGCUGACAGUAGGUGGUUAGCCAGUCUCCUCUAAACUUCCUUUCUGCCCUAAGACCUCAUAGUCUUUGGCACUCCCUAUUUAUGGAGCUAAAGAACAGUUUUAGUUUGUAAUGUUUAAGCUCACUAUUAUAAGGGAGCAGCAUAUGAACUAUAGAUGUAUCACAUAGUGCUGAAUACACAUACCACCCUACUUGGAAUCCAGAUGAAAACUCGCCCUGCGUGUUUUCCAGUCAUAUGACAAAGGAUUGUUCAGAGCCAAUUGAUCAGCACAGCUGUCAAAAAAAGAACACUGAGCUCAGACCGGAUUUUCCUGAAUGUCGGCCUGUUUUUGGGAUCAUACUGCCAGCAGUUGUUCAUGACCCUGGAUAUCUCCACUGGGCAGCCAUGAGGAGAAGGCAUACGGUAUCCUGCAACAAGACCCAACAUCAGUUCUCCUGAGGAUUAUCCGCAGGGAGUCAUCCCCAUGGAGAAGGUCUCCCAAAGCAAGACACCAAAGCUCCACACAUCACUCUGUGUGGUAUAACGACCUGAGAGAAACAGCAGGGGGCAGCAUUUGAAAAGGAACAUUCUUUUUGACAGUUUCCCUUUUGCAGACUGUAAGAAGAGUGGUAUUAUUUUUGGCUUACCAUAGUUCAGGGCUUCUGGAGCAGUCCAUUUGACAGGGAUCUGUCUGAGACCCCCCUCUGCAGAGUAGACACCAUCAUCUCGCUCACGGGACAUCCCAAAGUCACUGAUCUUAACCACAUUGCGUUCUGCAACCAGGCAAUUUCUUGCUGCCCAGGUCCCUAAAAAAAGGAAACAUAGAGAGACAAAUAAUGUUAUGUGAUAGAAAACAAGAGGAGGAUAACAGAAACACCGAAAAACAAAGGGAAAAUGUCCCUGGUGUUUGUUUGUUUUUCUGGGUAGAGUUUGUAAUUCUGUGUUGCAGAAACCUGCUUUGAUCUGUUCCCCACAGUAUGAACUGUUCUCAGCUAGCUAUCACAGUCACCCUAUCCUCAACUCCCACCGCCUCACAACACCUCAACUUUCAGCUCAUUUCCUUUUUAUUUUCAUUUCUGAAUUCUUCUGAUGAUAUCUACUUUUAGGUUAUUGUUUAAGUUAGCAGCUGUCUGUACAUUUUAAGUCAUGUUUUAUCUGUACAACUGCUCCACACUUGCUAAAGACUGAAACAAGAUGAUCUUAUCACAGCCUUUUCUCUUUUAUAUCACAAAGUAGCAAUACCAAAAUCUACUUUGCAGAAAAACAGACACUUCUGGGGUUUCUCAUUAAGUUAUUUGCAUGUCCUGUUAGUCUCUAAACCAAAGACUCAUUCAAAAACUGAAAUGGAGAUGCAGACACGCUUCUAAAAUAAGUUCACCUUAGAGAUAUAUUCUCUCAGCACUAAUACAGUUUGACCACAUUUAAAUGGGGGCAUUGUGUUAUUUAGGAGACGGCAUUAUUUUUGAGCAUUUAUAAAACUAAAACCAACAGCUCUUGCCAGAGC